UACGGAGGGUGCAAGCGUUAUCCGGAAUCACUGGGUUUAAAGGGUGCGUAGGCGGUGAGAUAAGUCAGUCGUGAAAUCUCUUGGCUUAACCAAUGAAAUUGCGAUUGAUACUGUUUUACUUGAAAGAGGUUGAGGUCAGCGGAAUGUGGCAUGUAGCGGUGAAAUGCAUAGAUAUGCCAUAGAACACCGAUUGCGAAGGCAGCUGGCUGGGCCUACUUUGACGCUGAGGCACGAAAGCGUGGGGAGCAAACAGG
rnacentral:rRNA from 2 species